UACGUAGGGGGCAGCGUUAUCCGGAUUUACUGGGUGUAAAGGGAGCGUAGACGGCUGAGCAAGUCUGAAGUGAAAGGCGGGGGCCCAACCCCCGGACUGCUUUGGAAACUGUAUAGCUAGAGUGCAGGAGAGGUAAGUGGAAUUCCUAGUGUAGCGGUGAAAUGCGUAGAUAUUAGGAGGAACACCAGUGGCGAAGGCGGCUUACUGGACUGUAACUGACGUUGAGGCUCGAAAGCGUGGGGAGCAAACAGG
rnacentral:rRNA from 1 species